AUGAGAAUACUGGAGGUAGAGCACUGUUUGGACUAGGGGGCCAUCCCGGUUUACCGAAUUCAGACAAACUCCGAAUGCCAGAUAUUUAUACACGGGAGUCAGACUGCGAGUGAUAAGAUCCGUAGUCAAAAGGGAAACAGCCCAGACCACCAGCUAAGGUCCCAAAGUAAUCGUUAAGUGGAAAAGGAUGUGGCGUUGCACAGACAACCAGGAUGUUGGCUUAGAAGCAGCCAUCAUUUAAAGAGUGCGUAAUAGCUCACUGGUCGAGUGACGCUGCGCCGAAAAUGUAUCGGGGCUAAACGAUUCACCGAAGCUGUGGAUUGACAUCUACGAUGUCAGUGGUAGGAGAGCGGUCUAAGUGCGUUGAAGUCAGACCGGAAGGACUGGUGGAGCGCUUAGAAGUGAGAAUGCCGGUAUGAGUAGCGAAAGACGGGUGAGAAUCCCGUCCACCGUAUGACUAAGGUUUCCUGAGGAAGGCUCGUCCGCUCAGGGUUAGUCGGGACCUAAGCCGAGGCCGAUAGGCGUAGGCGAUGGACAACAGGUUGAUAUUCCUGUACCACCUCCUCACCGUUUGAGAAAUGGGGGGACGCAGUAGGAUAGGGUAAGCGCGCUGUUGGAUAUGCGCGUCCAAGCAGUAAGGCGUGUGUGUAGGCAAAUCCGCACACUAUAACGUUGAGCUGUGAUGGCGAGUCCGUAUGGACGAAGUUCCUGAUUUCACACUGCCAAGAAAAGCCUCUAUCGAGGUGAGAG
rnacentral:rRNA from 1 species